rnacentral:rRNA from 1 species
AUUGAACGCUGGCGGCAGGCCUAACACAUGCAAGUCGAGCGAGCGGCGGACGGGUGAGUACUGUCUGGGAAACUGCCUGAUGGAGGGGGAUAACUACUGGAAACGGUAGCUACUACCGCAUACCAUCAGAUGUGCCCAGAUGGGAUUAGCUAGUAGGUGGGGUAACGGCUAACCUAGGCGACGAUCCCUAGCUGGUCUGAGAGGAUGACCAGCCACACUGGAACUGAGACACGGUCCAGACGCCUACGGGGGGCAGCAGUGGGGAAUAUUGCACAAUGGGCGCAAGCCUGAGGCAGCCAGGCCGGGUGUGUGAAGAAGGCCUUCGGGUUGUAAAGCACUUUCAGCGGGGAGGCGUUACCCGCAGAAGAAGCACCGGCUAACUCCGUGCCAGCAGCCGCGGUAUUC